GUGAGGAAUAUUGGUCAAUGGGCGGGAGCCUGAACCAGCCAAGUCGCGUGAAGGAAGAAGGAUCUAUGGUUCGUAAACUUCUUUUGCAGGGGAAUAAAGUGCAGGACGUGUCCUGUUUUGUAUGUACCCUGAGAAUAAGGAUCGGCUAACUCCGUGCCAGCAGCCGCGGUAAUACGGAGGAUCCGAGCGUUAUCCGGAUUUAUUGGGUUUAAAGGGUGCGUAGGUGGUUUGAUAAGUCAGCGGUGAAAGUUUGCAGCUUAACUGUAAAAAUGCCGUUGAAACUGUCGGACUUGAGUGUAAAUGAGGUAGGCGGAAUGCGUGGUGUAGCGGUGAAAUGCAUAGAUAUCACGCAGAACUCCGAUUGCGAAGGCAGCUUACUAAGCUACAACUGACACUGAAGCACGAAAGCGUGGGGAUCAAACAGGAUUAGAAACCCCAGUAGCC
rnacentral:rRNA from 1 species